GGAGAGAGAUCAGGCGCAGGACCGACAUUAACGUGCUCUCCGAUGCACGGGUGUAUCAAUCACUAACAUCCAGACUGCGUGAUGACAGCGUUAAAAAUAAUCUGUGAAGUUUUGCAAUAUAUUUCGGCGCUUGCGUGACCAAUGUGACGUUUGAAGUAUGCGUCAGUAGAAACAUGGUGUUUGGACGUGAUUGUUUAAAUAAUAAACUUUGGAAUUCCUA